UGUGGGAGCGAGCCUGCUCGCGAUGACGGCGUGUCAGGUACAGAAAUAUUGGCUGAUACUCCGCCAUCGCGAGCAGGCUCGCUCCCACA
rnacentral:misc_RNA from 1 species